ensembl:lncRNA
AAUUCUUCCCCCACCCAUCAGCAAAGAAAAAGGGAGGUGGGGGUGGCUAACCUUCCCUCUUUCUGUCAUGCUAAGCCUGGCCUGUGUCUUCUAGUUGUUGCUUUAGAAAGAGUCUGGGCCUUUCUGGAAGCCUUUGCAGAGCUGUUCCUGAUUGACUGCUCCCUCCGACUGGGGAAGGAAAUCAGAUGCACCAAGACGGCUGGGGUUGAGUGGAGAUGGGCAGCGUGUGUAGGGAUAAGUCAAGGGACUCUCUCCUGUGCUCGUAACCUCAGGCGCUCCACAGUCCCCCCUGUCAUCCUACAUCACCGCCGGGAAGCAAGGGCACCGUUUUCAGGGGGUGGCAGGUGCUGUCGGCACAAGCAGCCGCUUUGGCAGAACUAGGACAGCGCUCGGGAGAUUGCUUCCUUAGGAGACGCGUGCUCAGCCUGGAGGAGUUGGUUAAACAUACUCCUGGUGCGACCCUUGAUGGGUCUGGUAUAAGCACAGCCUCCACCACAAGCCUCCUGGGAGCUCCGAAGUCAGCGCUUUCACUGUAAAUGCUUCCUCUGUGCAAGUGGGCAGAGAACCUGUGUGGCUCCGAUGCUUGCAAGAAGAGGGAUGGAGCUGCGGUUUGAACUACUUUCCCUGAGAAAUAACAUCCCAAAGCUUUCUAGGCCUAUUAGGAAUCACAGCUUGACACUCAAUGACACUAAAUUAUUAUUGGGAUCUGUUGACUCUGCAGAGCCGGCUGCGGUGGCGAGAUGUUUCCCUCCAGUGGCGGAAGAACAGACGCAGGCGGUGGUUUCAGGCCCAGGGCAGAGCCAUGAGAACAGGACAUGCAGACCAGGGGAGCAAACACAGCAGCAUUUUCAGCAGGCUUUUUGGUCCUAUGAAUUGUCAGGUCUUGUGGCUGCUGGGCUGCGCUGUGGAGUGAGAACUGCUCGCGCUAUCUGCGUCCCCAGGUCAGCCUGCUCCAGCUCAGUCAGUGUUUACCUCCUGAAUGCUAACCGCAAGACUUGCAGAGCCUCCCCUGGAAAAAAACAGCUCAGGACAGUUAUUUUUAUGGAAAUAAUGAAGCAGGCAAUCGGCCAUGGCAGCAGUUUGCUCCUCCAUCCUGGAGAAAGGUGAGGUUGCAUUUCGCUGAGGGCUGGCUAGGUUUGGCGCCCCGCCACGCUCUUGUGCUGGUUCUCUUUAGCCCAUGGCAAGCAUAUGCCGAACAUCCCACCCUGCUGUGUGUUUUUAUGAGUACAAGCUUCUCAUUCUGUACAUGUUAUUAUGAGCUAUUGUUAACCCUACAAAUGUAACCUGUGUAAUAGCUUUUCUGUAUAUUACAGCUGUAGGCUUUCCAGAUAAAAGUGGAUAAUAUUUAUUUACUGAAGAUAUUGGAUAUUUUUUUGUUUGGGAAUGGGGUAGGGGGAGAAGGGGGAUGUAACUGUUUAAAGAGAUUGACUAUGUAAAGAGAAACAAAAUACCCAAAAAGCAAAGAAACCCAACACUAAAAUGUUGCUGUAUUCAUGUAGAAAGUGUUUACGUAAGGAUGAUACAACUGUAUUAAUCUACCAUUGUUUAACUCGUUCCGGAAAUCAUCUCUACUUUGGUUCCUGCAUGUGAGAUACUCCAAUAAAUGCACUACUAGUGUGAACUGUAGGAUGGUA